UACGAAGGGGGCUAGCGUUGCUCGGAAUCACUGGGCGUAAAGCGCACGUAGGCGGAUUGUUAAGUCAGGGGUGAAAUCCUGGAGCUCAACUCCAGAACUGCCUUUGAUACUGGCGAUCUUGAGUCCGGGAGAGGUGAGUGGAACUGCGAGUGUAGAGGUGAAAUUCGUAGAUAUUCGCAAGAACACCAGUGGCGAAAGGCGGCUCACUGGCCCGGUACUGACGCUGAGGCGCGAAAGCGUGGGUAGCUAAACAGG
rnacentral:rRNA from 1 species